UAAGGCCCUGACCAGGAGAGGGUCACCGUGACUACAACCACCUCCCUUUCCUCAACGAGGUUAUGCAAUGGAGGAAGAAGCUGACAAGAGAAAUGAGACCAUAAAGCUCUACGAGGAGAGUAGAUUGUUAGUCAAUUCUUUCAUCAUAAAUUAAUGGAGACUUCCUGGAAGAUGGUGGAGUGGUGAACAGCAGAGAGGGAGCCUCUCCGAGAUUUGGUGUCCUGACACUGGAAUAUAGCAGCAUGAGGAGGAGAAGGAGGAGGGAAGUAGGUCCCUGAAACCCAGGAAGGGUCUGAGUUGAGAAUUGAAAUCCACUGGGAGACUGAAGAGAGUGAUUUUAACGAAGAAGAGGUAGGUAGCAAGCAGUGCUCUAUCCCAGAGUCUGGACUCUGUGAGGGAAAGGCAGGCCAGCUGUGCAGAUGCUGGCGACUCCAGAGGCCUCCACGGAGAAGCACACCAGGGGAACACAGCAGUGGAUGCAGCCGAGUGCAGCGGAGUACAGCGGCUGCAGGUCUUGUCAGAGUUGUUCUAUGUAAACAAGAUCACUGGCUAACAUCCCAAGGAAAGCAAGUGCAUCCAACAAGUCUUCCAGGUGGAGCAAGUGGCAGACAGCGGCGCGGGCACCUGAGUUAGAAUCUAGUCUGUGCCUCUUAUCAGCUCUUCGACUUUGGACAGGUUGGACAAUCGUAACUGGACUUUCUUCAUCUAGAACAAAGGCUGAGCAGAGAAGCUGAGAAUCUUGUGGAGGACCAGCAGCCAUCCUUCUAGCUUCAGGAAAAAUCCGACAGUGAGGCUGGCAGAGAAGAGCCCCUCUGGACUUCUUUUUAUGUCAUCAAGAGGUGAGCAGCUUUGCUCUACCACAUGGUUGUCCCCACCAUGAUAUUCUACCUCACCCUAGGUCGAGAAGCAAUGGAGCCAGCCAGCCAUGCACUGAACCCUCCACAACUGUGAGCCAAGAUAAACCCUCCUCCUACUCCGUGCAGAUGGCGGGAUUGUUCACAUAGCAGGACAGAUUUGCCAUCAAAGGGACAAGAAAUCUUGGCAGGAGGCACGUGAGUGCCAGUGGCGAGUCUCUCGUUGAUCCUGGCAUCUGUCCAGCAGAUCCUUCCUUUUCAGUGAAUGAGGAAGAAAGACCGCUUAUUCUGCUCUGCCAAGGCUAAUCAGACUCAAGUUUUCCCAGCACUGGAACUUGCCAGCUUUCAGCUGCAGAGAGAAAGCAGAUACAUUUUAGGAAAGAACAACAAAUGCACAUUCCCUUCAACCUUGAACCCCGCACAACUUCACAAUCUACAUAAUCAUUUGCAAAGGAGACCGCUUCGCAGAGGGGCCCUGGAUUUGAGCGCUCAGGAGGCAAAGUGAUCCUGGGGGUGCUUACCAAAGAACUGCUUUCUUUGCCUAGUUGUUGACAUUAACCAAGAUUUUCUUUUCUUUUUUUUUUUUCUGGUUUUCAGAAUCGAACUCAGGACCUUGCGCUUGCCAGGCAGGUGUGGCAUCACUGAGCUACAUUCCAGGCCCUUCUUUUUUAUUAAAAAUAAAUUAAUGAAGCCUGCCCAGCCAGACUUCCCAAGUUGGUGUGGACUUCUUGGAGCCGUGUAUUGGCAACCAGGAUCUCACUCUGUACUUCAGAUUGGCCUUAGCCCAGCUGACCUCAAACUCAUGGUGAUCCUCCUGCCUCAGCUUCCCAAGUGCUGGGAUAACAGGAAAAACAGGAAUUUGGAAGGAACCUAUGGGCCACUCAGAAGUCUGAAUGUCCAAGAUGUUUGGAGGAAGAGCUUUCCCUCCGUUGCCAGGAGCAGCUCUUUCAAAUUGUUAAUCAGUGUGAUGUAUCAAAGAGAAGGCUGCUUUGUCCUUCCUAAAGAGAGCAGGAGGCUACGUGUGGCUAUCUGGACCCCUGAGCCCUGGAAAAUCACCUGAAUUCUUUUCUGGAAUGAACUGGAUAUAGGUUAACAAAUUACUUGUGUAAACAUUUUAUUCUGUCAACACAAGUUGUGUAUGAGAAACUUCUUGGUUGCUAAAGUAAGCCAGUAACCUCGGUGGUUGCAUCUUCACAUCUGAAUAAUGAAGGGCUGGACCAGAGGAUCUGGAGCUGCCUGACGUUGUCUCACUCCACGACCAGGGAGAAGCGGAAGCGGGAAACAUUCUGCCCAUUGAUGACUUUUUUUUUCCUUUGGUACUGGGGAUCAAACUCGGGACCUUGCAUUUUCCAGGCAGGCGGCGGAACCACUGAGCUAAAUCCCCAGCCCCAUUGAUGGCUUUUUACAACAGAGGCUUUUGUUAGCUGUUUCUCUUUCAAGGCAAGGCAGGGAAGGCACCCAUUUUGUGUAUGUGUCUCCUGGUCAUAGGGUAAGAGAGGAGAAGAAGGUUUUGCUGUACUCUCUACUUCCUGUGGUGAUACUGCUUUUUUUUUUUUUUUUUUGUGAGGAAAAGUAUUGUUUCUUUUUUAAACCUUGCAUAGAAUUCUUAUAUGGGAAAGAAAGACGUGGGAGGGCCUGAAGCCGGUCCCGAGGGCUUUCCCUUUGGCCCAGAGAUACCUGGUCUCUCUGGAAGACAUGUAGGAAACCAGUGCUCUAAAGCAGUCUCCCCAAGGCCCAAGUUCUGCAUCUCUCCAUGCUGUCCCCAUGUAAAAGUGCUGGUGGUGGGGCAAACUGUAAAUGGUUACGGGUGUGCAACUCUGUGGAGGGCUAGGGACGUGAGAGAUGAGGGGUAGAGAGAGGCCAUUUCCUUGUGAAGCCGAGAUGGGCACAGGCGGGACCCGGCGGCUGUACAUGGAGCAGAAAAGACCCAUGGAUGACUCAAAGUGAGGUGCGCCCUCCCUGUUGUCGUGAAGGCCGCUGUCUAGUUGAGUCGCUUCUGUAGCGGGAAUAGUCAGUGUCAUUAAUUUUCCCCUGUACUGAGUGGGCCGUGGAACAUGAAGCUGACUUGAUGGAUCACAGUGCCACUUCGGAGCAGAGUGGUCAAAGUCUGCCUUACAGGACGUAAAGGACAGAAACCAAGAAUGCCAUCAUUAAUUCAAAGAUACUUGAAGGCUGAGAUGAGAACCUUUUGGCUUCUCAGGGCCAAUUUAUUUCCCUAGAAAGGAGGACUACAACAGACAAGAAUUUCUGACACAUCAUGGGAAAAAGUGAAGAAGUCAAUCUUUGGGGUGUGUUUUUACCCAGGAGGUGGCCUGCAAUGGGUUAGUGGCACAUCACAAUAAAUUAUUUAUCAGGACGUGUAAGAUCACAGUCAUCCUGGAGUUUUGCCUGACCGGAUGUAAAAUCAAUGUGGAGCUGAAAUUCAGUGAAUAACCAUGCUGACUGGACCUACUCAAUGGAGAACCACAGAAAAUAUCUUCCUGGGUACCCCAGUGUAACAAAGCAAAGGUGCUAUUUUGUUUUGCAUCGGUGGUCUUAUGGCUAAGCACAUUAUAUUUAGCAGCUGGAGUCCCCUCAUUUGAUUUUCAACCUCACCCAACUAGACAUUUGGCAAUCUCGAUUAAAUGGCUUUCUCAUUCUGUCACUAAAAUUUUAACAGCAGUUGUUAAGUGAAACAUGAGAAAGCUGUGUUCACUACCAUGUA
rnacentral:lncRNA from 1 species